UUUUAUUAAUUGGAAAUGUCGAUUUCGAAAAUAUACUUAUGUUUUUCAUCAUGUGCUAUACUAAGAAAUGAUAUAUAUCUUAACUAUGGAUAGUUUUCUAUAGAAAUAAAACAUUCUUCUCGUGGAAAUUUUUGCCGUGUGCGAUUGAUACUAAAUAAAAAAUACUUUACACGUUAUCCACACUUUGAAAUAAAUCAAAAUGGAAAACUGGCAUGUACUUGAUGAACUUCGAUGUCCAGUAAAAGGAUGUGAGGGAGGAAGAAUUCCGUGCAAAUGGGUUUGUGGUGAAGACAAUUCUGUGAUACAGCUUGCCCAGACUGGUUUCAUGAAAUGCAGUAAAACAAUACAAGGAAAGGCAGCGCAUUACGGACAGGUCUGUGUAUGGCGUUGGGACUGUGGCAAACAUGGUGAUCACCCUUUCUCUCGAUUUCAAGAAGCAGAUUUUCAGGGAUUUGUGUUCGCCUUAUCUCACGCUCUUCAACUCACGAGUAAAGCGGGCACUACAUGGGUUGCAACUCUUUGUAUCGAACUAAACAAGCAAUACAUGAACAGUGAAACCCCAACACCAGCUUCAUCAGGCAAUAUCUGUAGUAUUUGUCUAGACAGACCAGUGGAUGUCUACCUAUAUCCCUGUGGUCAUACAGUUUGUGAGCAAGACGCACAAGAACUACAAAAGGGAAACAAUCAGUGUCACUUGUGCAAAGCCAAGUUUACAAACAUAAAUAAACUGUUCUUUUGACAACAAUUGAACAAACUUUAUAUUAUGGGGAUGGGAUGAAAUACCUUUGUACAUGCAGGUUACUUAUUAAUAAUUUUUAACUUUGAAAUGUUAGACAGAUUUUAUAUUUAAGAGUCAUUAAAUACUAAAAAGGGAUUCAUUUUCAUUAAGGACAUCAGAAGUCAUUAUUAGUGACUGGUCCUGUUUAAUCACCUGUUUCACAUUUUUGGCAUAGGUAGAUAGCGUUGAUUUAAUUGGUUGAAUAAUAAGAGCGUUAACACUAAGUGUGGAAUAUAAUGUCAUGUGAUAUUAAGAUUUUCUGUUACCUCCUCUUGGUACAUUCAAAAGUACGUAAUCACAUCUUAUAGACAUGCAGUAACAUUAUUCUCAACCGGGAAAUAAUUAGAAUGUUUUAAGUAUUAAUCCGAAGUGCAACAAGGGUAAAGUUUAGAAAAAAGAAAAAAAAAAAAAAAAAAAAGAAGCCAAAAGCAUGUAAAAUCAUCCGCCAAGAGUAUUAACUCUAUAUAGAGUAGACUAUCGGUUUCAGACAUGUUUACUGAUUUGUAGUUUUGUGUCCAGCUGAUAACUUUUGCUUUUUAUACUUUUUCUCAAUCUAUGAUCGUUUACCCAAAAAAAUCACAGAAAAUGGUUAAAAAAUAACCAUUCAAGGGCAAUAACUCAUAACAAUAGGAAACUGACAAUUUCUGCCAUGUUGAAUUAAAUGUAGAUCUUGUCUUGCUGAUCAAUAUUGUUGUUCAGUUCCAUUUAUUCGCUGUAGUUUCUUUAAAAUAAAAAAAAACAAAAAUUGACAAA